GAUCCUGGCUCAGGAUGAACGCUAGCUACAGGCUUAACACAUGCAAGUCGCGGGGCAGCAUGAAGGAUGCUUGCAUCCUUUGAUGGCGACCGGCGCACGGGUGAGUAACGCGUAUCCAACCUGCCUGUUACCACGGCACAGCCCGUCGAAAGGCGGAUUAAUGCCGUAUGUGGUCCUUUGCGGGCAUCUAAUUAGGACUAAGGUUCGGCGGUAACGGAGUGGGGAUGCGUCCGAUUAG
rnacentral:rRNA from 1 species